UUUCAUGGGAUGCUAGAGCAGAGAUUUUACAAGAAGAAAAUCAAGCACAUCCUAAAGCUUCCUUACAUUUUCUGUCUUCACCCGCCCCAUCUCCUCUCCCAAAUAAAUUUCAAAAUUUCUUUCUGGUUAGAGCAAGAAAGAGGAAAGCUUCACGAUUUGUGUGGUGUGGCUGGAACUGGCAUUUAAGGGAUAACAAGAGCUUAUAAACAAGCAUGCAUACUGUAUUUUAACUUGUCUUGAUUAUCUUUUUUUUCAUACAUGUGAG
rnacentral:lncRNA from 1 species